rnacentral:rRNA from 1 species
AUUGAACGCUGGCGGCAGGCUUAACACAUGCAAGUCGAGCGAGCGGCGGACGGGUGAGUAAUGUCUGGGAAACUGCCUGAUGGAGGGGGAUAACUACUGGAAACGGUAGCUAAUACCGCAUACCAUCAGAUGUGCCCAGCUGGGAUUAGCUAGUAGGUGGGGUAAAGGCUCACCUAGGCGACGAUCUCUAGCUGGUCUGAGAGGAUGAGAAGACACACUGGGACUGAGACACGGCCCAGACUCCUACGUGAGGCAGCAGUGGGGAAUAUUGCACAAUGGGCGAAAGCCUGAUGCAGCCAUGCCGCGUGUAUGAAGAGGGCCUUCGGGUUGUAAAGUACUUUCAGCGAGGAGGCGUUACUCGCAGAAGAAGCACCGGCUAACUCCGUGCCAGCAGCCGCGGUAAUUC